UAAUAUUCUGUUUAUUAACCUCCGAUCUCCCGUUGCUUCUUCAUCUCUCGCUUCCUAAUUGCUUCAAGGCAAAGACUUUCGCAUCGCUUCAUGAUAUAAAGCAGAGGAAUCUAGGGUUUAUGGAGCGAACGAGCAACGGAGGGAUGUUGUACCACGAGGUUCAGGAAGCUAAUCUAUGCGCCGUUCACUGCGUCAAUACCGUCCUGCAGGGACCCUUCUUCUCCGAGUUUGAUUUGGCCGCCGUCGCUGCCGAUCUCGACGGGAAGGAGCGUCAGGUCAUGCUCGAAGGCGCCGCCACCGGAAACUUCGCCGCCGGCGAUUUCUUCUCGGAGGAGUCUCACAAUGUUUCCCUCGGCGGCGAUUUCAGUAUCCAGGUCUUGCAGAAGGCUUUGGAAGUGUGGGAUUUACAAGUGAUUCCACUCAACUGUCCCGAUGCAGAGCCUGCGCAGAUAGACCCCGAGCUUGAAAACGCCUUCAUCUGCCACUUACAUGACCAUUGGUUUUGCAUAAGGAGAGUGGGCGGCGAAUGGUAUAACUUCGACAGCCUCCUCGCGGCACCGCAACACCUAUCGAAGUUCUACCUUUCUGCGUUUCUCGACUCUCUGAAAGGCUCAGGAUGGAGUAUCUUCAUAGUGAAAGGAAACUUCCCGCAGGAGUGUCCCAUGUCGUCUUCUUCUGAAGCUUCCAACGCUUUUGGACAGUGGCUUUCGCCUGAAGACGCAGAGAGAAUACUAAAGGAGACAAGCUCGACACGGAGUUCUUCUUCUACUGUAAACUAUAGAAGUAGUGACAAUGUCGAUCAGCAAAGACCGUAUCAGGCGUUGUCAAGUGACGAAGUACGAACUUUUUCAGAGAUGGAAGAUGAUGACUUGAAGGCAGCGAUUGCAGCGAGUUUGUUAGAUGCUUCUGCGGCUGGAGCCAAUCUUGGAGCUGUUGGGACUACUUCUCAAAGGGAGGAAACUGGGAAACAAAAGUAGCAGAGAAAACAGAGAACAAUGCUGUAUUGAUGAAGAGUGGAAAUACAAAUAUCUUGGUAAAAGUUGAGAUCUGAGAAAAUCUGAAUCCAAGGUUGCUGAUCUUUCUUCUCAAAUGGGUUCUUCUUUGGAGAAGUUGUUCAACAGAUAGAGGGUACAUGAGAGUCUGGGAGGGGGCAAUGUUUCAGAUGUGAUGCUGUGGAGGGAGAAGAAUAUGAGUGUUAGUAUAGUGACAGUAACAAUAGGAUCAUGGAUGGUGUUUGAGACAUUUUCUUACACCAUCCUCUCUCUUCUUUCAAGUGUUCUUUUCCUCCCGCUCUCUAUUUUCUUCCUCUGGUCCAAUUCUGCAUCCAUCCUCAACAGGCCAUCACCGCCACCAUUGCCGGAGUUUCAUAUAACUGAAGCAAUGACUAAAGAAGCGUCCAAGUUGUUACGCAUCCAUUUGAAUAAACUGUUUCAAGUCUCGCAUGACAUUGCAAUGGGAAGAGACUCAGAGUUGUUUAUCAAAGUAGCCAUCUCUCAGUUUCUCGUCUCAUUCAUCGGAAGCCUCAUGGAUUUUCAAACACUUUGCCAUACCGGGGUUUAGUGGUUAUGACAGUUCCUACUUUCUAUGAGAGAUACGAGGUUUACAUAGAUAUAUCACUAUUGCUCAUCUACAACAGAGCUAAAGAGCUUUACCUUAGGUUCCAGAUAUGGGCUCAUCCGGAAAAUGAGAAACUAAGCUGAAACUCUCAUGUAAAUAUUGAUAAAUGUUUGAAUGGUACAGCCAAAAUAUGAGCUACCCACAGAAAUUUUAUUUCAAAGUUUUGCUUGAAAACUACUACUCUGUUCCAAGAACAGUGUUAGAUGAAGUUCUGGAUGAUACUAGUCCUCUCUCGACCACCAAAGUUAAGAAGAAAACAUUGGUGCU